UGACCUCGGAUCAGGUAGGACUACCCGCUGAACUUAAGCAUAUCAAUAAGCGGAGGAAAAGAAACCAACAGGGAUUGCCCCAGUAACGGCGAGUGAAGCGGCAACAGCUCAGAUUUGGAAUCUGGCCCCCAGGGCCCGAGUUGUAAUCUGGAGAGGAUGCUUCUGGCGCGGCGCCUUCCGAGUUCCCUGGAACGGGACGCCGGAGAGGGUGAGAGCCCCGUACGGUUGGACGCCUAGCCUUUGUGAAGCUCCUUCGACGAGUCGAGUAGUUUGGGAAUGCUGCUCAAAAUGGGAGGUAAAUUUCUUCUAAAGCUAAAUACCGGCCAGAGACCGAUAGCGCACAAGUAGAGUGAUCGAAAGAUGAAAAGCACUUUGAAAAGAGGGUCAAACAGUACGUGAAAUUGUUGAAAGGGAAGCGCCCGUGGCCAGACUUGUGCCCCGCGGACCACCCGGCGCCCUCAGCGCCGGUGCACUCCGCGGGGCGCAGGCCAGCAUCGGUUUUCCUAGGGGGAUAAAGGCGGCGGGAACGUGGCUCCUUCGGGAGUGUUAUAGCCCGUCGUGCCAUGCCCCUGGGGGGACCGAGGACCGCGCUUCGGCAAGGAUGCUGGCGUAAUGGCCACCGGCGACCCGUCUUGAAACACGGACC
rnacentral:rRNA from 1 species